rnacentral:tRNA from 1 species
GGCCGGUAGCUCAGCCUGGUCAGAGCGCCGGGCUUUUAACCCGGCGGUCGCGGGUUCAAAUCCCGCCCGGCCCGCCAU